ensembl:lncRNA
CCUCCUUCCUUCCCUCUCAAUCUCUCUCUUUUUGCUCUCCUCCUUCAGCAUUACUAAUAGCAAAUGACCUUAAUGCUUGAGACAGGGUAUGUUCUUUAAAAAGUGUAAGACUUCUAGCGGGGGAUUUAUUCAGUGGUUCUGUCGCCUGCCUCGGAAGUGCAAGGUCCUGAGUUCAAUCCCCCGUACCAAAAAAAAAAAAAAAAGACCAGAUGUUGGUGUAAAAACUGCUUGAGAAGCAUCUGUGAGAGAUACCGCGCUGUCCGUCUCCCAGGAAGGAAGUUCGUAUCUCUUGUGCGUGUUCUAAUUUUAAAAUUAACACAGGACUCCAAAAAUUCAACUGAGAAAUGGGAAUGAUCUUCCAGGUCCAAUGAUAUUAGUGUCUGGACCAAAGUCACAGCUACUGGCUUCCUGAAGACAGUGAUAUACAGACUGGGUCUCCACCAUGUGCAUGAGCUAGGAAAGGGCAGAAGAAAGAACUGGAGGAGAAUUGGUCCCGAUAGAAGGGAAGAGAUGUGAGAAGGAUAGAAGAAAUUGUGACUGGGGCAGGCCCACUGACCUCCAGUGGAGCCACGGGCAGAGCACCCAAGACUGACUGAGCCCUGCUGUGUCCGGCUGGCUACACCUCCUUGAGACCAAGAGCUGAUAAGGAUCCCCCAGGCAGGCCCACCAGCCGCCUGUGGAGUUGCGUGGGCACCUACAACAACAGACCCCCCCCCCAACCGCCUCUGGCCUCUUGGCUGUGCAGCUACCUGGUUCCACACUGCAGAGGCACAGGGGACAUAAAGGCCACUGUCCUGAGCUGCAGAAGUGAACGAGAGAGAGAGAGAGAGAGGGCCUCUCUCAGGCUUCCUGAUGAAAACUGAAGCCCACUGGAAACGUGAAGAGAAUCUCUGCAGUAAAGGCACACCAGACCACCAUACUUGGAGGACAUGGAGCUCAACUUGGGACUUGAAGCCAGAAAUCUGCCUGAAUCUCACAGGAAGAAUCAUCCAGAACACAGAGGAGGAGGCUUCUGGGCCAAUGUACCACUGCUCCCAGCACAGAGGAGGUGAGCUGCACAGGCAGCAGCAGAACCCCCCCAACCCCCCCAUCAAAAUAAGAAGACACAUAAACAAGCCUCAAGACCAGACUUUCAGAUCACCUACAGCAACCUCAAAGGGAAACAAGAUGGAACACUCUGAUACUCAACCACCUGGACUCCCUGAACUGGCAACAAAAGAGGAUCUGGAAAAAAUGAAAUCAGAAAUAAUUUCAAAGAUAACAGCAGAGAUUGUGCCCAUAGUGCAAGACAUGAUUGAUAAAUCUAGAGAGGAGCUGAGGAACAUAAUGGAAUCCCAACAUAGGAAACAAAUGGAUUCCAUAAAGCAAAAACAAACAGAUUUCCAGGAGAUUAAAAACUCCAUUGAAAGUUUGCGCAGCAGAAUGAGGCAAUGCAAGGACAGAACUUAAGAUAUAGAAGAUGAGAUUGCAGUUAGUGACCAGGAAAAGAAAAAUUGCUUAAAAAUUGUAGGGGACCAUGAGAAAUCAAUCCAACAACUGGUAGAUGAUGCAAAGAAGAAUAACAUAAGAAUGAUCCAAGUCAGUGAAGAAAGAGGACAGAAUGCAGAUGACAUAAAAAAAAACUGUUCACAGAAGUGAUGGCAGAAAAAUUUCCAAGCAGGGGAAAAGAACUUCACAUACAUAUAUAGGUCUCCAACAAGCCUUGAUCAAAAAAAAAAUCUACACAUAGGCAUAUAAUAGUUAAAAUUCCAGAAACCCAACAGAAGAACAAAGUCUUACAAGCAGUGAGAGAAAAGAAACAAAUCACAUAAAAAGGAAAACCCAUCAGAAUCACAGCAGACUUCUCACCGCAAACCCUCAAGACAAGAAGAGUUUGGAGUGACUUAUUUUAUGUCCUAAAGGUAAACAGCCUCCAACCCAG